rnacentral:rRNA from 1 species
GACGAACGCUGGCGGCGCGCUUAAUACAUGCAAGUCGAACGAGAAGCCAGAGCUUGCUCUGGUGGAAAGUGGCGAACGGGUGAGUAACACGUGAGAAACCUGCCCAAAGAUUGGGAUAAGCCUUGGAAACGAGGUCUAAUACCAAAUACCUUCCUUUUAACACAUGUUAAAAAGAAGAAAUGCUCCGGCGCUUUGGGAUGGUCUCGCGAUCUAUCAGCUUGUUGGUGAGGUAACGGCUCACCAAGGCAUCGACGGAUAGCUGGUCUGAGAGGAUGUCCAGCCACAUUGGAACUGAGACACGGUCCAAACUCCUACGGGAGGCAGCAGUAGGGAAUCUUGCACAAUGAGGGAAACCUUGAUGCAGCGACGCCGCGUGCGGGACGAAGGCCCUAGGGUUGUAAACCGCUUUCAGUAGGGACGAAAGUGACGGUACCUACAGAAGAAGCCCCGGCCAACUAUGUGCCAGCAGCCGCGGUAAU